rnacentral:rRNA from 1 species
AGUGAACGCUGGCGGUAGGCCUAACACAUGCAAGUCGAACGGCAGCACAGGAGAGCUUGCUCUCUGGGUGGCGAGUGGCGGACGGGUGAGGAAUACAUCGGAAUCUACCUUUUCGUGGGGGAUAACGUAGGGAAACUUACGCUAAUACCGCAUACGACCUACGGGUGAAAGUGGGGGACCGCAAGGCCUCACGCGAUUAGAUGAGCCGAUGUCCGAUUAGCUAGUUGGCGGGGUAAUGGCCCACCAAGGCGACGAUCGGUAGCUGGUCUGAGAGGAUGAGCAGCAACACUGGAACUGAGACACGGUCCAAACGCCAACGGGAGGCAGCAGUGGGAAAUAUUGGACAAUGGGCGCAAGCCUGAUCCAGCCAUCCCGCGUGGGUGAAGAAGGCCUUCGGGUUGUAAAGCCCUUUUGUUGGGAAAGAAAUCCUGUCGAUUAAUACUCGGUGGGGAUGACGGUACCCAAAGAAUAAGCACCGGCUAACUUCGUGCCAGCCGCCGCAGUAAAAC